UCUUACAGAUGAGCAGAGAAAGCGGUUUCUUGAGAUGGAAUCUGCUCCUGGUGAAGAUGCUUUGAA
rnacentral:pre_miRNA from 1 species